rnacentral:tRNA from 1 species
GCCUGGGUGGCUCAGUCGGUUAAGCUUCUGACUUUGUCUCAGGUCAUGAUCUUGCAGUUCGUGGGUUCGAGCCCCACGUCAGGCU